GCGCCUGCCAGGCCGGGGCCGGCGGCGGAACAGCUUGGGACCCGAAACGCCUCGGCUUUUCUGCGGACCCGCGCCCGGCCGCUGCCGCCGGACGCUUGAAAAGAGGCAGAGUCUUGCUUUGUUGUCCAGGCUGGUCUUGAACUUCUGAGCUCAAGUGAUCCUCCCGCCUUGGCCUCCCAAAGUGCUGAGACUACAGAGAGAGAAUGCUAACGAGCUGUGAAAUGACCAAAGAUCUGGCAGCAGAAGGGAAAAGAAAAAAUAAUGGGAAGAAGAGGAUUUAUCUGACUCAACUGGAGAUGGCUCCCUUCCCUUAUUUAUUGUUGCAUCCUGAAGCUUCCCCCAUGCUGGGCUCAGUGUGAACAAACAGCGCGGGAGAAUGCAACCACUGCAGAGGCAUAUGUUUGAGAUACCUGGCCACUGGAGGUCAUCUCGUCUACUAUAUUCACCGCAGAUAAAGAAUGAAAAGAGAAUACACAACCUUGUGAUUGCUAGCAGUGAAAGCUCAGAGUUAUGACAUAACAACAAGGCUCUCUCCGCUUACUCCUCUGCUUGCUUGUGGAUGAAAAGGGCCACGCCACCCCUGAUUUGACAGUAUCCUUUAAGUUCACAUCUCAACAAGCAUGUGAGCCUGGUGUUUGUGUCUCUUAUUUCCAAUUCUCCAGAAAGAGAAUGCCAGAAUAUUAAUUGGUUCCUCAUAUCAAUCAGCCAAAGUCAACUUGUUAUUAAAACAGAGCCAAGAAACUGCCUCUUUUGGUAGAGAUUGUGGGUGGAAAGUAAUUCCAAAUAAUGGAUCAUGGGUUAGGCAGGCAUGGCCAAAUAUUUUAUAUUUAAACCAUAAUGUUUAAAUAUAAAAGAUAGAUCACAUAUUUUAUAACUAUCUUUAGCUUAAUAUUUUGCCAACAUACUUUUUUGUCAAGAUAAUUAUAUCUCAUCAUUUUUUGUGACAGUGUAGUAUCCAUCGUAUGUACUUGCCUCAGUUUGCUCAACCAAUUGCUAUUGAUGGAUAUUCUUUCGUCCAGGUAUUUGCCAGUACAAUCAAUGUUGUUACGAACAACCAUCAUAAAUAUUUGUGCCUAGCCUUAAUUAUUUUUUAGGGCAAAUUAUUAUUUUUGGAACUUUUAUUUUAGGUUUGGGGGUACAGGUGCAGGUUUGUUAUAUAGUAAACUUGUGUCACAGGAGUUUCUUGUACAGAUUAUUUCAUCAUCCAGCUAUUAAGCCUAGUACCCAAUAGUUAUUUUUUCUGCUCUUCUCCCUCCUCACACCCUUCACCCUCAAGUAGACCCCAGUGUCUGUUUUCCCUUCUUUGUGUUCGUGAGUUCUCAUCAUUUAGCUCUCAUAAAAAAGAACAGGAUCGUGUCUUUUGCAGGAACAUGGAUGAAGUUGGAGUCUAUUACCCUUAGCAAACUAGUGCAGAAACAGAAAACCAAGUAUCGCAUGUUCUCACUUAUAAGUAUGGUAAAUUAUUAAAAGCAAAAUUGUUAGGUUAAGAAGUAUGAACAGUUUUAAGACUUUAGAAAUAUGUACCCCAAUUUUCUUCUGGAAAAACUGCACCCGUUCAUAUUCCCACGAGCCAUGUGGUAAAGUGCCUGCCUUUCCACACCCUCACCAGCACUGGGGAUUAUUCUCUUAUCGUUGCCAGUUUGAUAGCCAAAAA
ensembl:lncRNA MAP4K3-DT MAP4K3 divergent transcript